CAAACCAAUGGGUUUGUAGCAAUUUAAACCUCGUUUUUAUAACAGAAGCACCUCUACGCCAAUCACCAAGCCUACACAGCCACUCUUCUUUCACACAGUCUGGCCGCAACCUGUCACUUGUCCCUAGCCCGGACCCAAAGUGCCAAAUGUAGUCUACUGCAAUUAUGUUAGUAUAAAACUUUAUUUUAGUUUAAAAAUUAGGGAAGAUAGCUGGUUGUAUGUCAAAUAUUUAUUAAACAAGUUGAUCGAACAACAUCUAAAAUUUUAAAAUUAAGGAAAUUUAAAUAAAGAACUCCAAACUAGCCAAUUAAGUGCCAGCAGUUGCGGUUAAACUUAAAGUUAUCUAAUUAGCUAUACUUUAAUUAUACAAAACUCCUGCAAGUCUCAAUCAAGUGGUCAGUAGGUGAAAUUUUAAACCUCUGGAAAAGACUAUAACUAUAACAAUUUUAACAAUUCUUAAAAACUAGGAUUAGAUACCCUACUAUCGAUAAGUAUUUAAAUAAGGUAGUAAAAGAUAAAUCUUCAAACUUAAGAAAUUUGGCGGUAGUUUAACCUAACUAGAGGAAUCUGCCCUGUAAUUGAUGAUCCACUAUUCGUCCCACUUUGUAGAUUUUGUAUAUUUAUAUAUCGCUGUAAAAUAUAAGCUAAAAAGUAAUAUAUAAAAAAGAAGCCAUAAACUAAUAGCUCAAGUCAACACAUAAUUAUUACCAAGGUUGAGGUGGGUUACAUUUAUUUCGAAUUAAUGGAAUGAGAUUAAUUAAAGAUAAACACAAAACCGGAUUUAGAAGUAAGCUCGACUAGAUAGUCUAACUGAAUUAGAAAUAAACUAUGUACAAAUCGCCCGUCAUUCUUAAAUAAAUUAAGACAAGUCGUAACAAAGUAGAGUUACUGGAAAGUGACUUUAGAAUUAGCAAG
rnacentral:rRNA from 1 species